rnacentral:rRNA from 1 species
GACGAACGCUGGCGACGCGCUUAACACAUGCAAGUCGAACGGAAAGGCCUGCUUUCCCUUGUGGAUUGCGGGUACUCGAGUGGCGAACGGGUGAGUAACACGUGAGUGAUCUGCCCCCAACUUGGGUAUAAGCCUGGGAAACUGGGUCUAAUUCCCGAUAGGACUGCAGGGUGGUGCCUGUGGUGGAAAACGAUUUUCUAGUGGUUGGGGAUGAGCUCGCGGCCUAUCAGCUUGUUGGUGGGGUAAUGGCCUACCAAGGCGGCGACGGGUAGCCGGCCUGAGAGGGUGGACGGCCACAUUGGGACUGAGAUACGGCCCAGACUCCUACGGGAGGCAGCAGUGGGGAAUAGUGCACAAUGGGCGGAAGCCUGAUGCAGCGACGCCGCGUGGGGGAUGACGGCCUUCGGGUUGUAAACUCCUUUCGACCGCGAGGAAGCCACCUGGUUGGAAGGGUGGUGACGGUAGUGGUAGAAGAAGCACCGGCUAACUACGUG